GAUGAACGCUGGCGGCGUGCCUAAUACAUGCAAGUCGAGCGAACAGAAGAGGAGCUUGCUCCUCUGACGUUAGCGGCGGACGGGUGAGUAACACGUGGAUAACCUACCUAUAAGACUGGGAUAACUUCGGGAAACCGGAGCUAAUACCGGAUAAUAUAUUGAACCGCAUGGUUCAAUAGUGAAAGACGGUUUUGCUGUCACUUAUAGAUGGAUCCGCGCCGCAUUAGCUAGUUGGUAAGGUAACGGCUUACCAAGGCAACGAUGCGAAGCCGACCUGAGAGGGUGAUCGGGCACACUGUAACUGAGACACGUUCCAGAUUCCGACGGGAGGCAGCAGUAGGGAAUCUUCCGCAAUGGGCGAAAGCCUGACGGUGCAACGCCGCGUGAGUGAUGAAGGUCUUCGGAUCGUAGAACUCUGUUAUUAGGGAAGAACAAAUGUGUAAGUAACUAUGCACGUCUUGACGGUACCUAAUCAGAAAGCCACGGCUAACUACGUG
rnacentral:rRNA from 1 species